AAGUCGUAACAAGGUUUCCGUAGGUGAACCUGCGGAAGGAUCAUUAUUGAAUUUAAUGUAGAGUUGGUUGUAGCUGGCCUAUGAAUUAAUUUUCUGUGGCAUGUGCACACCUUCUCUUUCAUCCACACACACACACCUGUGAACUUGUGAGACAGUAAGUUUGGGGACUUUAUUGAACCCGCUUUCUGUCUACUUAAUUUAUAUAAAAUCAAUCUAUUUUAAAACGAAUGUAAUGGAUGUAACGCAUCUAAUACUAAGUUUCAACAACGGAUCUCUUGGCUCUC
rnacentral:misc_RNA from 1 species